GACGAACCGUGCGAACGUUAUUCGGAAUCACUGGGCUUAAAGCGCGUGUAGGCGGGACGGCACGUCGGUCGCUGAAAUCCCCCGGCUCAACCGGGGAACGGGCGCCGAUACGACCGCCCUGGAGGGGCGUAGGGGGACCUGGAACUUCCGGUGGAGCGGUGAAAUGCGUUGAGAUCGGAAGGAACGCCCGUGACGAAAGCGAGGUCCUGGACGCCUACUGACGCUGAGACGCGAAAGCCAGGGGAGCGAACGGG
rnacentral:rRNA from 1 species